CCUUUUCCACUACAACCAACCACUGAAAUGAUCAUCCAUGGGUUUCUCCUAGGACAGAAUUGACAGUUUAUGUGAUCACAGGGGAAAACAUUUACACCAGAACAAGUGCUCAGUAAUGGUAUUAAAUGGCACAUGAAGACUCCAAAGAAAACAGAAUGGGACAUGGUCUUUGGUGAGGUAGGGACAUGUGGAGAGCAAUACUGUAAUGAAGAAGGGAUACCCUGCUUGGCAUGUUUUCAAGCCUGAUGAAAGAAACACCCACAAAUCAUCAGACUGCAUGCUGUAAGUAAGAAGUGGAAUAAUUACUAAAGACACCAGAGCAAAUGGAAAAGCAAACAAAAUGUAUUAUGGCAUGAGAUUUCAACUGUAAGCAUCCUAGUUACUAACACACAUUAUACCCAUUCCUCAUCUGAAAAAUGUUUUUGUGUGUGUACUAGGGUUUACUUUAUGUUUAAAUAAAUGUAUCACUUUGCACUGUUUUCUUGAGCUUUUUCUAGAUUCUGUUUUUAUACGUAACUGAACACAUGCAGAGUGGUAAGGAAACCAUUUUAGCUAGUGGGUUUAUAGCCACACUAGAGGUCCAGUUCCAAUGAGAAGCUUCAGACAUUUUGCAAUCAGGAGACUUUCAAAGAUAACAAACUCCUAAAAAAGUUUGGGGAAACUGGAUAGCCAGGAGAAGAAGCAACUCUACUCAUGUGGUUCGGAAGGUGAUCAGGUGAGAACCUACACCAAAUUUGUCCAUUGCUUUCAUAGGAACAGAAGGUUCCAGGUCUGUGUUUUCCUAUGACUUCGUCUUAGAAUCAUAGAAUAGUUUGGUUUGAAAGGGACCUUCAAAGUGAUCUGGUCCAACCCUCCUGCAACAAACAGGAACAACUCCAUCUAGAUCAGGUUGCCCAGAACCACAUCCAGCCUGGCCUUAAAUGUCCCCAUGGAUGGGGUACCCACCACCUCUCGGCAACCUGCUCCAGAAUUUUUACCACCCUCAUUGUAAACAAUCUCUUCCUUAUGUCCAGCCUGAAUCUCCCCUCUUUUAGUUUAAAACCACCACCGCUCAUCCUAUCACAACUGGUCCUGCUAAAAAGUAUCUCCCCAUCUUUCUUAUAGGCCUCUUAAGUACUGAAAGGCUCCAAUAAGGUCUUCAUGGAGUCUUCUCCAGGCUGAACAACCCCAGCUAUCUCAGCCUGUCUUCAUAGGAGAGGUGCUCCAGCCCUCAGAUCACUUUUGUGGCCCUCCCCUGUACCCUCUCCAACAGGUCUGCGUCUUUUCUUCUCAGAGAGUAUUCCCAGCGUUUUUCAUGUGCCGAUCUCUAACUAUUUUUCACAGGAACUGUAAUCUUGCAUACUGAAUUUACAUGUACUGAAAAUCAGUUUGCUUUUCCUGGUUACGUUUUGGCUGCACCAUGACAUUAAACAGCUUGGGAGUUGUUCUC